UACGUAGGGUGCAAGCGUUAAUCGGAAUUACUGGGGGUAAAGCGUGCGCAGGCGGUGAUGUAAGACAGAUGUGAAAUCCCCGGGCUCAACCUGGGAACUGCAUUUGUGACUGCAUCGCUGGAGUGCGGCAGAGGGGGAUGGAAUUCCGCGUGUAGCAGUGAAAUGCGUAGAUAUGCGGAGGAACACCGAUGGCGAAGGCAAUCCCCUGGGCCUGCACUGACGCUCAUGCACGAAAGCGUGGGGAGCAAACAGG
rnacentral:rRNA from 1 species